rnacentral:sRNA from 1 species
GCGGAGCAGUCUCAUGAAUGUCUUCGGAUUGUAUCCAGAAGGUGCUUAGCGGCGAACGGGUGAGUAACACGUGGGUAACCUGCCCUAUACUCUGGGAUAACUCCGGGAAACCGGGGCUAAUACCGGAUGUUGUUUCCGGGACGCAUGUCCUGGUAACUAAAGCUCCGGCGGUAUAGGAUGGACCCGCGGACCAUUAGCUUGUUGGUAGGGUAACGGCCUACCAAGGCUACGAUGGAUAGCCGACCUGAGAGGGUGAUCGGCCACAUUGGGACUGAGACACGGCCCAGACUCCUACGGGAGGCAGCAGUGGGACAGUUGGCUCAGAACGAACGCUGGCGGCUGGCUCAGAACGAACGCUGGCGGCGGCAGUUGACUUUGAUAUUUUGCACUCCUACGGGAGGCAGCA